rnacentral:rRNA from 1 species
AUAGCAGUUUUACCGGGUAAAGCGAAUGAUUAGAGGUUCGGGGGUUGAAAUGACCUUCACCUAUUCUCAAACUUUAAAUCGGUAAGAUGGGCCCGUUACUUCAGUGAACAGGCUCUUGAAUGCAGCGCUCUUAGUGGGCCAUUUUUGGUAAGCAGAACUGGCAACGAGGGGUCAACCUAAGGAGAGGUUGAGGCGACAAAUUGACUGCUCAUAGAUGGAAAGGGGUUGGUUCAUUUAGAGAGUAG